GCCUGCGCGGAAGAUGUAACGGGGCUAAACCAUGCACCGAAGCUGCGGCAGCGACACUAUGUGUUGUUGGGUAGGGGAGCGUUCUGUAAGCCGUCGAAGGUGGCCUGUGAGGGCUGCUGGAGGUAUCAGAAGUGCGAAUGCUGACAUAAGUAACGAUAAAGCGGGUGAAAAGCCCGCUCGCCGGAAGACCAAGGGUUCCUGUCCAACGUUAAUCGGGGCAGGGUGAGUCGACCCCUAAGGCGAGGCCGAAAGGCGUAGUCGAUGGGAAACAGGUUAAUAUUCCUGUACUCGGUGUUACUGCGAAGGGGGGACGGAGAAGGCUAUGUUGGCCGGGCGACGGUUGUCCCGGUUUAAGCGUGUAGGCUUGUGUUCCAGGCAAAUCCGGAACACUUUAAGGCUGAGGCGUGAUGACGAGGCACUACGGUGCUGAAGCAACAGAUGCCCUGCUUCCAGGAAAAGCCUCU
rnacentral:rRNA from 1 species